rnacentral:rRNA from 1 species
CCCUAUGGGGUGCAGCAGGCGCGAAACCUUUACAAUGCACGAAAGUGUGAUAAGGGGACUCCAAGUGCAUAUAUACCAUAUAUGCUUUUCUUUAGUCUAAAUCGCUAGAGGAAUAAGGGGUGGGUAAGACUAGUGCCAGCCGCCGCGGUAAAACUAGCAUCCCUAGUGGCAGUCACCAUUACUGGGCUUAAAGCGUCCGUAGCUUGUUUUGAAAGUCUCUGCUGAAAUCCUGCAGCUUAACUGUAGGGCUUGGCGGAGAAACUCCAAGACUUGAGGACAGGAGAGGUCGGGGGUACUUCUGGGGUAAGGGUGAAAUCUUAUAAUCCUAGAAGGACCAACAGUGGCGAAGGCGCCCGACAUGAAUGUGCCUGACAGUGAGGGACGAGAGCCAGGGUCGCGAAACGGAUUAGAUACCCGUGUAGUCCUGGCCGUAAACGAUGCUGACUAGGUGGGGCAGGUCCUUAGAGGUCCUGCUAUGCCGAAGGGAAACCGUUAAGUCAGCCGCCUGGGGAGUACGUUCGCAAGAAUGAAACUUAAAGGAAUUGGCGGGGGAGCACUACAAGGGGUGGAAGCUGCGGUUUAAUUAGAUUCAACGCUGGACAUCUCACCGGAGGCGACAGCAGUAUGAAGGACAGGCUGAUGGUCUUUCCGGACACGCUGAGAGGUAGUGCAUGGCC